GAUGAAGAAUGUAGCGAAAUGCGAUAAGUAAUGUGAAUUGCAGAAUUCAGUGAAUCAUCGAAUCUUUGAACGCACAUUGCGCCCGCCAGUAUUCUGGCGGGCAUGCCUGUCUGAGCGUCAUUUCAACCCUCAUGCCCCUAGGGCGUGGUGUUGGGGAUCGGCCAAAGCCCGCGAGGGACGGCCGGCCCCUAAAUCUAGUGGCGGACCCGUCGUGGCCUCCUCUGCGAAGUAGUGAUAUUCCGCAUCGGAGAGCGACGAGCCCCUGCCGUUAAACCCCCAACUUUCCAAGGUUGACCUCAGAUCAGGUAGGAAUACCCGCUGAACUUAAGCAUAUCAAUAAGCGGAGGA
rnacentral:misc_RNA from 1 species